CCCAUUCUUUCCCUGAUAGACGUCCCUCUACCUUUAUUGCUUGCCUGUGAUUCAGAGAUCAAGAAGGUCACAGAGAAUUGUAAGAUGAGAAAACAAAGGCCCAGAGAGUUUAAGUGACCUGCACCCCCAAGUCAUGCAGCUAGUAAGUGAAGAGGCAGGAUUUGAACCCACACCCUCUGACUUCACAUUCAAUGCUUUUCCACACUUCCAAAAAGGCAAGUCUCCAAAAGACAAACAUGGUGCCAAAGGAAAUGAAGCUGAAGUUCCCAGGCUCCAUGUGCAUUGGUAGUGGUGGCAGGAGCAAGCCAGUUUAAAGAUCUCUCUACUUGGAAGAGAAAACGGAAUCGGAGU